rnacentral:rRNA from 2 species
AGAUUAAACUGAAGAGUUUGAUCCUGGCUCAGAUUGAACGCUGGCGGCAUGCCUUACACAUGCAAGUCGAACGGCAGCGCGGGGCAACCUGGCGGCGAGUGGCGAACGGGUGAGUAAUAUAUCGGAACGUACCCUGGAGUGGGGGAUAACGUAGCGAAAGUUACGCUAAUACCGCAUACGAUCUAAGGAUGAAAGUGGGGGAUCGCAAGACCUCAUGCUCCUGGAGCGGCCGAUAUCUGAUUAGCUAGUUGGUGGGGUAAAGGCCUACCAAGGCAUCGAUCAGUAGCUGGUCUGAGAGGACGACCAGCCACACUGGAACUGAGACACGGUCCAGACUCCUACGGGAGGCAGCAGUGGGGAAUUUUGGACAAUGGGCGCAAGCCUGAUCCAGCAAUGCCGCGUGAGUGAAGAAGGCCUUCGGGUUGUAAAGCUCUUUUGUCAGGGAAGAAACGGUG